rnacentral:rRNA from 1 species
UAUUUUGUCGGUUUCUAGGACCGCCGUAAUGAUUGAUAGGGAUGGUCGGGGGCAUCAGUAUUGAAUUGUCAGAGGUGAAAUUCUUGGAUUCAUUCAAGACUAACUACUGCGAAAGCAUUUGCCAAGGAUGUUUUCAUUAAUCAGUGAACGAAAGUUAGGGGAUCGAAGACGAUCAGAUACCGUCGUAGUCUUAACCAUAAACCAUGCCGACCAUCGAUCGGACGGUGUUUUAUCGUUGACCCGUUCGGCAGAUUGCGAGAAAUCAGAGUGUUUGGGUUCCGGGGGGAGUACGGUCGCAAGAUUGAAACUUAAAGCAAUUGACGGAAGGGCACCACAAGGCGUGGAGCCUGCGGCUUAGUUUGACUCAACACGGGGAAACUCACCAGGUCCGGACAGAGGAAGGAUUGACAGAUUGAGAGCUCUUUCUUGAUUCUUUGGGUGGUGGUGCAUGGCCGUUCUUAGUUGGUGGAGUGAUUUGUCUGCUUAAUUGCGAUAACGAACGAGACCUUCAUCUGCCAAAUAGCCAGGCCGGCUGCCGCCGGUCGCGGGCUUCUUAGAGAGACGAUCGGCUCAAGCCGAUGGAAGUUGGAGGCAAUAACAGGUCUGUGAUGCCCUUAGAUGUUCUGGGCCGCACGCGCGCUACACUGACGGAGCCAGCGAGUGCAUCAUCCUUGGCCGAAAGGUCCGGGUAAUCUUGUUAAACUCCGUCGUGCUGGGGAUAGCGCAU